rnacentral:rRNA from 1 species
GACGAACGCUGGCGGCGUGCUUAACACAUGCAAGUCGAACGGUAAGGCCCUUCGGGGUACACGAGUGGCGAACGGGUGAGUAACUCGUGGGUGAUCUGCCCUGCACUUCGGGAUAAGCCUGGGAAACUGGGUCUAAUACCGGAUAGGACCCUGGGAUGCAUGUCCUGGGGUGGAAAGCUUUUGCGGUGUGGGAUGGGCCCGCGGCCUAUCAGCUUGUUGGUGGGGUGAUGGCCUACCAAGGCGACGACGGGUAGCCGGCCUGAGAGGGUGACCGGCCACACUGGGACUGAGGUACGGCCCAGACUCCUACGGGAGGCAGCAGUGGGGAAUAUUGCACAAUGGGCGCAAGCCUGAUGCAGCGACGCCGCGUGAGGGAUGACGGCCUUCGGGUUGUAAACCUCUUUCAGCACCGACGAAGCGCAAGUGACGGUAGGUGCAGAAGAAGGACCGGCCAACUACGUGCCAGCAGCCGCAGUAA